rnacentral:tRNA from 2 species
GGGGUCGUAGUUAAACGGCAUAACAGGUCAUUCGCAUUGACCAGUUCGGAGUUCAAUUCUCCGCGACUCCACCA